rnacentral:misc_RNA from 1 species
GUCGGCGGCGUGCUGUCCACUGGGCUUCACAAAACAGCGAGCCGACAGAGCACGGAGAUGUCGGGGCUGCUGCGCACAACACAAAUUUCCCACGGGCAUUCCAUCGAACAGCCAAGGGGGAAGAUUGCAGGGGGCGCCAUGGACGACGGCGAGCUCGCUGCGGCUGCUGUUUUGUGGGGAAGAGAGGAGGAGCAGGGGCCUAGAGCUAGGCGACAUUGCUGCUGCUGCUUUCCAUGGGAGAGAAAAAAAAUAGGGCGCAGGGAACAGCAGCUACGGACAGGGAAAGUGGAGGUCGGCCAUGGGAGGUAGGGAGGAAAAUCUGCUUGUGGUUGCUGCCGUGCGCGCGAUAGAACUCAAGGGAGGGAGAUGCAGGGAGCUCGGGCUUGAGCCAUGGAGCCGAGCUGCUGGGCGCCGGCCAUGGAGCAGGGGCUUG